rnacentral:tRNA from 1 species
GUCUCCUUGUAGCGCAAUGGAUAGCGUGUUGGACUUCUAAUCCAAGGGUGGUGGGUUUGAAUCCCACCUGGAAUG